AUCAAGAUGGAGCAGGGUAUAGAGAAGCCAUUAGGGAUGAUACAGAACACCACCAAAGGGUUAGUAACGGUGGGGAACUGUUUGCACCCCGAAGCCUGAAAGAGUGAAGUAGGGUGGGAUUACCUGGAAAGAGAGAGAGAGACAGAAGGAGAAUGAGAUUGAGGGAAGGGCUGCCUGGCAGGGGAAGCUGACGCCUUCAGGCAAGUGAAGAAGCCAGCCCGCAGCAACUCUGCAGGGAAGAAUAUAGGGAAAUAAACGCCUUCAUCUCUCUCUUGUCCCACCCGCAGAGCUCCUUCUGGGAUUCUCUAUUGGCUGAACUCAGCCAGAAGCUGCCAAGGGAGACCCCCACAACUGGAUGCAGCCCACUGAAGUCAGCUUCCUGGGGUGCGUAGCUGAAGGUAGCAGGGAGCAAAAAGAAUCUGAAGGGGAAGUGAACAAUGUAGAGCGUAUCUGUGCUGAAGACGUAAGGAGAGAGUGGAGGUCAGAAGCUGGCAUGGUCCCUGGUGCAUGUAUCAGCCGCUAAAGAAGUGGAGAGUAUGAACAUAAGCAAGAGGAAGUGAUGAGUAUCCCUUCCAGGAGAACUCUAAGAGGCAGUGAGUGAUUUGCUGGGCUCCCAAGCCCUCUGCUCUGAUGACAGCAAAGCCCCAAAUCAUGGUGCCUCCAUCAGUCGGGACCCCUCAGCAGAGCCAGCUUCACAGCUGGAGUGGAUGAAUCAGAACUUUCCCCAUGGGAGCAUUUAUAAAAAGGGGACACCCAGCGCAGAAGAUGUUUUCCAGGGAGAUCUCGGGGAGCCCAACAAGCCAAGAAGAGCAGAGCAAAGCAUUCCAAGGAAGGACUCUAAGUCUGCAACCGAGCACACACGAGGGUAGCCUACGCAUGUACGUCUUGCAGUGAUGGCAAGGAGCAGGAGAAAGAAAGCCCAUCCAAACAAGCAUAUUGGAAGCCUAUGUAUCCCAUAAGCUGACAUCUUGUUGCCCAAAGCAUGUCAUGUGCGUGGUCCAGAGUCAGUGUUGAAGGGCUCUGCAAAAUCACAUGGUAAAGACUGUGGUUUCAGGGAGGAGUGAAGAUUUGUGCGCAUUGCUCCAAUUGACAACCAUGGCACUAGGCUCAGGCCACACUUCUUCCUAACAAGAGAGCAAGUCAAAGCGUGGUUAGUUAAAGUCCAUACAAAAACUCACUUUAACAGGCCUCCUCUGGAUUGAACAGCUGAUAUUAAGUCAUAAGGUACCACAUCAGAAAGAUACUGGGUAUCUUUGGUUCAGCAAUUCCAUCACCAGGGACUUUUUCAUCCUAAGGAAAUCACUGCACGGUGGACAAAGAUAUAUGCAUAAGGAUGCUCCUUCUGGCCAAAGACCAAAAACAUAACUGGCCAUCAGUAAAAGCCAACACAAGGAAAGACCAUGUGAAUACACAGCAAGAACGUGGUGCUCUGCAAGUCAGAAACAGACCCGUCAUCAGACACCAAAUCAGCCAGCACCUUGAUCUAGGAUUUCUGGCCUCCAAAACAGUGAGAAAAUAAAAUUCUGUUGUUUAAGCCAUGCAGCCUGUUGUAUUUCAUUAUGGCAGCCUGAGCAGAAUAAGACAGGUAUAUACAAAUGCAAAUUCUAUUAAGAAAUCUGUAUCUUUUACCCUAUUGAAG
rnacentral:lncRNA from 1 species